CAGGCUGGUCUUGAAUUCCUGACCUCAUGAUCCACCCGUCUCGGCCUCCCAAAGUGCUGGGAUUACAGGUGUGAGCCACCACGCUCGGCCUGUAGCUUGUGUUAUUAACGGACAAGCAAACGCCCGUGCCCGUACACGUUCCUGUUACAGUAUGUUACAAAAGUGCUUCUGAGCUACUACUCCUGGAGGCUCGGUUGGAGUGCCCGCGGGCGUGGGCGCGGUGGAAAAGAGGGAGAACCUGUAGGCCCAGCCCUCCGUAAACGUGGCUACGAGGGGCGGGGACUUUGAGCGCGGGUCCUGGGCCGGGGUGCGGGCUGGGAGGACUCGGUCCUCCACUGUCCCAGCCGGCUACGCGCCCGCGUGUCGCCUCCCGUCCCGCUAGCAGCACGCUGCGUGGCUGCUCGUUGGCUGCUUAAGACGGAAGCUCGGUUGAUGUUUCUGCAGAAGUUUCCCCCUUGGGCGGUGGCGGAGCUGCUGAGCGCGAUAGUAGCAGCUCCGGCGGCAGCAACAUGGACUAAGAGGGAUGGCGGCGGCUGCCGCAGGACCUGCAGCAUCCCAGAGGUGCAGAUUUUAAUUUCAGUGACUGAAUUAAAAGGUGUCAAGAAGCUCAGAAUGGAAGAACUGGAACUGUGGUUUGUGCCUGCCUUAUUGCAUCUGAAAUAUUUUUAACUGCAGAGAAGCCGUGGGUCACGGAAGAGAACCAUGGAACCCAGCGACUAGUGUUCAGUUCCAUUAGGACGAAUCGGGCACUUAGCUGCGCAGGAACAAUGGCGAGCCUCUAGCCUGAUCGGGAGUGGCAAUGGGCGCCUCGAUGGAUCAGAAGUGCAGAGGACAUCCUGCCAGAUCCAGAGGGGUGGAAGUCAGCAGUGGAUCUGUGACAGCAAUGAUCUGCAGUGGUGGACGGAAAGCCUGUAUUAUUUUGGAGAAAGGUGAACAGAUAAAACCAACAGCACUAAAUUUCAGGGACUAGAAACUCCUUCUGUGGUAAGUUUUCUUUUUUAAAAGGGGAGUUUUUUUAGGGGAGUGGGUUAAGAUUGCCACCUGUUAUUUGGUUUCAUUUUAGACUCUUCUCCUUUGGUGAUCAGGCAGCAGCAUUUGGGCACCCUGCGACAGGCCUUGGUCCCUCCCUGAGGCUGAGGGUCAUGCUUCUGGUGCGACCCACAGGCUGGGGGCUCUGGCUUCCCCUCAGAGCAUCCUGCAUUCUAUUCUAUACUGGUUAUCGUUUACAGAGCUCAGGAGUUGAUUAUUUUCCCAAAGUAGGAAGGUCCAAUACCUAAGGCUCCAGGACCCUGAAGUUUAUCUAAAAUCACCAGCCUUUGAUUUCAAUAUAAAAAAGAUCCAAGUCUUUCACAAACCCUUACUAGAGCAAUUCAACCCUUGCAGAAUACCACAAAGACUGUUUUUGGGCGACUCCUGUGUGUGUGUGUUUUCUGUGUGUUGUUGGGGAGGUGUAUUUUAAAAGAGAAAGUAAAGGGGAAAUAAACUUUUCAAAAGCUCUUUAUAUACCAGACAGUAUUGCACUUUUAAAUAUCUCAUUUAAUACCCAUAACACCUAUAUGGAAUAUACACUGUUACUCUAUUUUUUUCUUUUAAAAACAUUUGUUGGCUGGGCACGGUGGCUCACGCCUGUAAUCCCCAACACUUUGGGAGGCUGAGGUGGACAAAUCACAAGGUCAGGAGUUUGAGUCCGGCCUGGCCAACAUGGUGAAACCCCAUCUCUACUAAAAAUACAAAAAAUUAGCUGGGCAUAGUGGCAGGUGCCUGUAAUCCCAGCUACUCAAGAGGCUGAGGCAGGAGAAUCAUUUGAACCCGGGAGGCAGAGGUUGCAGUGAGCUAAGAUAGCGCCACUGCACUCCAACCCAGGCAACAGAGUGAGACUCCAUCUGGAAAAAAAAAAAAAAAGAAAAACAUUUGUUAUGAAAAAGUUUAAUCCUACACAAAAGUCCAGAGAAUCAUACAAUAUAUCCCCAUAUAGUCAUCACAUUGCUGCAACAGUCAUUUCAGCCUGCAACCAGCCACAUUUCAUCCAUUCUUUUCUCACUCUACUCACACCCCUAACCCCACUCUCCACUCUUGCUUUCCCUAAACCUGGGUUAUUUUAAAGGAAAUUUCAGUCUUCAGAUCAUUUUAUCCCACAGGUAUUUUAGUAUGACAUUUAAGGACUCUUAACAACAAAAAACCUGAAUACUCUUUAUCAUAUCUAAAAAUAUUACACCUUAAAAAUCCUUAAUAUCAAAUUUGUAGCCCAUGUUUGUUUCCAAAAUUGUCUUAAAAUCUUUAAAAAUUUAGUUUAUUUCAGUCAGAAUUCAAACAAGGUCCACACAUCUCAUUGGUUGCUGUGUCUCCUAAGUCUCUGUUAAGAAUCUAACUUCAUGGAUUUCUCACUGUUUUUUAUUACUUGUAAUUUGUUUACUGCAGAAACCAGGAUGUUUAUCCUAUAGCAUUUACAACAUUCUAGACUUUGCCGAGCUAUUCUAAGAGUUAUAUAUUCACUAUCUCAUUUAAUAUUCUCAGUAACUCUAUGAGUAGGCACUACUAUGAUUCUCAUCUUCUAAAUUAGAAAACCGAGGUUCGGAGAAAGUAACUUUUGAACCAAGGACUGAAAUCUAGAUGUCAGACUCUGAAGCCAUUGCUGUGCACAGCUUCUCAUUUAUAUUGCCUUUUCUAUAUUGCUCCUAAAACUGAAGUGAGAGUGGAUUGGGAAUUCUUAAAUAGAUUUGGAUGUGGCUGUGAGUUUUUCUUUAAGUGGUGGGAGCUGAGUAAGUACUCUUGGCCCCGUUAGAAGAACACUAUAACUACUGGCCCUAAACCCUUAGUUUGGGCCAAAAGAACUCAGCCUUAUCCACUGAUACUUUUCUCCCACACCCCAGCCAAAAACAAAACAAAACAAAGAUAGUCAUAGACCCUAAGCUAAAAGUAAUAGGUGAAUUUACUGAAGUGCAGCCCUCAUCAUUCUACUUCCAUGCUCAAAAUCCAUACUAUGUCCCCACUGCCAAUGGCAAUAAACUAAACGUUUCAACCUGGCACUCAAGAGCCACAGUUUGACUUUUCCAACAUUUUCUUCCACCAUGUGCAUACACACAUCCCACACUCUAACACAUUUAGGCUGUGUGCUGUUUCCCAGCCUGUAGACACUUGAUUCCCAAAUGCCAUUGCUCAUGCCCCUUUUCCUGGAGUCUCUUUCCCUUCUCAGCCUCAAGUAGUCUCUUGCUUUUUCAAUUCUUUAGCCCUUUGUGUUUCUCUUAGGGACUACGUUACUUUUCAUUAUUCUCUAGCUAUUUGAAGUGGUGACUUCUGUAUCCCCUUUAAAGGCAAAGCCCAUGGCUUACCCAUCUUUCCAUCUUUUUCUCAUAAUAUCUUCCUUGUUUGUAGCAAGUGGCUUCUAUGUGUUGAUUGUAUUAAUUUCUACUACUAGUCCAUGUUGUUUUAAGUUGUAGGAGAAGGAAGCAUGGGAGCACAAGCAGCUUGAGGGCCCUGGUAGGUUACAGCCUUUAGGGGAAGGUGGAGAAUCUGGUGGCAGGAGCUAAGGGGAUGCUAGAUGGAGCUCCUUCAACAACUCUCCCCACACAUCUCCCCAUCCCCAUUUCUCCUGCAGUCAUGCGUAGUUUCCUGAACUUUAGUCCAGAACUAGUACACCAAAGGCUGCAACUGAAUCUCUUCUGAAUCACUAAGAAAGCAACACAGAGACUCAGCUGCAUGUUUGAGAGCUGUGUUGGCAAGACCUCAGGACAGAGUGCCCUCUGUGUCUGCUGGUGAUUCUCAGACACCACCACAUUCUGAUCCUGCACUGGGGGCCAUUCUACUGACUACAUCUACUCUUAAAUUAAGAACUUUCAUGAGACUUCCUCAUGACUGGCCCUUUCUAAAGUAAAGUAUGGCAGUUAGUUACUUGAAUGAACAUUUCCCAAUGGGUAAGGAACAGUCUGUGAACUUAUGAGUUCUUUUUUUUUUUGAGACAGUCUUGCUCUGUCGCCCAGACUGGAGUGCAGUGGUGCAAUCUCGGCUCACUGCAACCUUGACCUCUUGGGUUCAAGCGAUUUUCCUGCCUCAGCCUCCCAAGUGGUUGGGAUUACAGGUGCCCAUCACCACGCGCAGCUAAUUUUUGUAUUUUUAGUGUAGGUAGGGUUUCACCCUGUUGGCCAGGCUGGUCUCAAACUCCUAACCUCAAGUGAUCCACCCACCUCGGCCUCCCAAAGUGUUGAAAUUACAGGUGUGAGCCACAGCACCCAGCCAACUUUUGAAUUGUGAACCAGUUGAUUCAGUACCAGAGCUCUUCAACACCUUGAAGAAAGAUUCAAGGAGAACAGUUGUGAACAGCUUGCCCCAGGGAAAGGACAAGGCUAAGAGAAUUCCAAGGCUUGCUUGUGAAAACAGAAUUGGGGAAAUGGAAAUUGAAGAAAUUGUAGCUGUCAGGAACAAGAGAAGAAUGACAUGAAAUCUGCUACUGAGAUAUGGAGAAUAGAUAUGUUGGAUAUUUUGCACAAGUGAAACAUAUCUACAACUGGAAUCUCCCUCCAAGAAGGAUACUCUUUAUAAGAAGAUUCAUUAUUUAUUCGAUUCAUGGUGUUGGAGCAGGCGAUGGAUAUGAUCUAAAAGUCAAAAUAGUAAUGGAGAAAAAGGUUGUCUUUUCCUGUACUUACUUAAGAAAUUGUUAGGUAUUUCAUGACACUGAAACAGAGCAAUAAUUGAUGUAUUCAACAGUCCACCUCUGUAUGAUGAUGUGAAAGUGCAAUUUUUCUCUUUGCAUUUCGGGAGGCCGAGGCAGGUGGAUCACAUGAGGUCUGGGGUUCAAGACCAGCCUGACCAACAUGGAGAAACCCCGUCUCUAUUAAAGACAUGGAAAGAACUUGAAUUCUGGAUUUGAUACAAUCCACUGGGUAUACCGCAAGCCAGAGGCAAAUCCCACCAACUCCACCACUUAACAUCAAAGAUCCAGAAAAAUUAAAAAACUUUAUUCCAGUAAGAAAGUUUGGGAUGUACUGCUUCAGGCCCCGUCCUAAGGAAAUUAUCAGGCCUGGAGGGUGGACGCUAUCAACUGCCUGCCACCAUGUUACCUUCAGGCAUCCAGAAGCUUCCCUGUGCCAGAUGGAGCCACCAAUGUGGGAAGGAGAGCACAAAGGGCAGAGAAUCCACAGAAACCAUACCUGCAGGGAGCAAACACCAUCACACCCCACUGCUGUCAAUGCAAACACAUUUACCUAAUUCAUCUUUUGAUCUCCCUGAUGCAAAAAAGGACCGGCUCAGUUCAUAGCCACCGAAGAAGAAGAAAUAGCCUGGUACUUCUCGAAGUAAAGUGCUUGAGAGUCCAUGGUAGAACCCCAAGGGGCCAUCUUUCCUAAGAAUACUUUUGAUGACAGACCACACUGUACUGGGAGGAGACACAGAGAGAUAGCACGGUUAUGGCAGGGGGGAAGGAAGAAAAGACAAGGGCAUUUGCAACCAAUUAACAGAUCUGAUCAGGCACUAAUAAGGAAGAAGCUGAUUUUGUAAAUGAAGAGCCAGGAAUUGAGACUAAAAGGCAUCCUUCUGUGGGAAGGAAAUUUAUUUAUAGUAAGGAAUUAUCUAAACUCAGCAAGCAUAAAAUGGCAUUGUAUUGCCCAGUCCCUUAUCGCCGUGAUUCCUAUUUCCUCAAUCUUUCUGGUGUGUUUUUGGAAAAUUUAUUCAGGUGUUUAUAGGAUCUGUUUUGUUUCAGUGCAGAGAAAUGAGUGAAGGAGUAAAUGUUGUUUGAAGGCAAGACAAAUUCUGAGAACAAGUUAUAGCUCCUGUUAUGCAGAAGCACCAAGAAUUUAUUUCUCAGAGCACCAGGGAUGCAGGAGAAUUUCUUCUAAGCGGCCCUGCUCCUGUAGCAGCCAGAACACAGGACACUCUUUGUCUGACUCCCCUUCAUGAUGGGGGGCUACCAGGGCAGAUUUAUCCCUGCUAAGAACAGGCCAAGAAAUCACAUACUCAGUGCAACUUAGUGAAUCCCUCUCUCCUCACUUUGUUCUCAGCAAGAAGGAGACUUGGCUUGGACAGAUGAAGGAUCAAGUCCCAAGGUAAUAAAGGCCACAGACGUUUAAAAACUAUUUUCCUUCUGAGAGCUUCAGAAGACACUGUCAGGUAUUCCUCAUCAGCCAGCCCUUCCUGCAGCACUGCUACAUGGAAUGUAACAAAGUAAUCCAGCUCAACACAAUUAACCUCCCUUCCAAUCCGAGUCUUAGCCCCAAGCUACCAUACCAUGUCUUGUGUGAACACUGCUAGACCUCAAAUACAAAGUCAACUGAUAAUUCAAGGUGUAGAUCUGCCUAAGUCCUUUGGAUAUAACUAUUACUAUCUUUUAAUUACCUUGAAUUAGUUCCAAGGGACAUGAGGGCAGCUUUCUGGGUGUUGUUAAUGUUCUACUUGUUAAUCUGGACACAGGUUACAAGGGCACAUAAAUUGUGUCACUAUUUAUAGAACUGCAUACUGUGACUUAAAUGUGCAUUCAUGAUACUAUGUGUAUAUUUCAAUAAAAAGUUUUAAAGACUUACACUCUUGGACUUCUAGGCAAUGAAUAUUAGAUUCAAGUUGGUUGUAAUGAAUCUCAAGGGUGCAGAAAACAGGGCACUUUUCCAAACCCCAUUCUGAGUGGGGACUGAUCCCUGAAAAUGGUCAAUUUAUCUACUGCUUUUUCCCAGCAGAUUUAUAGGCUUUGAGUUAACCACAGCAAUAUCCUUGGUCAGAACUCGGCCAGAUGUCAAGAUAAGCAAGUUUUGCAAUUAAUAAGGACAAUAAAUUGCUUUCCAAUUCAAGUAAAUCAAAUUGUGUAUGACACAGCACUCUCAAAGGAUAAUGAGAAUGUGUUUUCAAGAGUGAGCUAGAGAGUGAUUUAAUCAUUGAAGAGUAGCUAUGCUUAGAAAAGUAUUGAUUAAUAUUCUCAGAACUUGGGCCAUUUGCAGGUACACUUGAAGGACUGGAGAUAAGUGGGGUAAGAAUAGUUACCUCUAGGAUCUGGGUCAAUCAGCCUGAACACCCAUAUGAAACCUGGAAGUGGGCAUCAAAUAUUCAUUUCAGAAUCCAAAUUGGCACUUAUGAAGGCUCAGGUGUAAGGCAAAGUUCAAAAGCCACCCACUAUGUACGUCCAAAAAUGGUUGAAGAUCAUGCCUUAUGUUUCCAAGAGGCCAAAAAGGGUGUUAAGCUCCUGGCUUCUCCAGUUCUGGGGUAUUAAAUAUCUGUCUAAGACUUUCUAUGCAGUGGGUGGUGGGUCCCAUCACAGCCAAUCCUUUCAGAAAAUCUCUGAUAGGGGAAAGCAUUCUAGAAACAAUAUUUUGGAGUAGAUAAAUCGGCUUCCACAUCUGCCACUUUAGUACAAUAUAAAAUGAAAAAUCAUCCAAUACACUAGGGCAAUAGAGAACUGACAUUUGUGCCCAAGUGGUGCUUACUUCUGGCUUUUGGCUAUCUUCCCUGAUGUCUCCAUCUCAUACAUGGUCUGCAGUCGGCACUUCACGAGCUCCGUGGGGCAGAGCACCAGUGCAGCAAAGGCAGAGGCGAAGGAACCGGCAGCUGCAUUCUGCAGAUCACUGAAAGUACACAAGCAGACAGUUACCCCUCAGUUUCUUCAUUCCUUCGGCACUCACAACAUAGAUGGCACUUUGGUGAUAAAGCAGGGCUAAGGAAGCAAGAAAGUGGAGGGGCGGGCAGAGCCAGAUCCAGUGGUUUCACUCAUGCAAGACAGAAGUCACUGUCUAUCCUGCGGCUGGAGGGGCUGCUUUGCUCAGAAGACACAGGUCUUCCCCAGAAUCUCACGUGGCUGCUUACUGUUUCCCUGUCUUCUCUCCCCAUUUUGUCCUUUGCUAAGGAAACUGAAGUCCAGGUCUUCUCCAAUAGAGUGUCUCUCCUUCAACAGGGAACAAAACUACAGUUGCCUGUAGUUUUUGCUUCUGUUCAGUCUCCAUCAUGGCACGCCAUACUCUCCUGGUUUGUGCCCUGCUUGUUUCUUUACUGCCUUCCUGCCUGCCCUUUCUGUGCGGGAGGCUCAUCCCAUUCAUGCUCAGCCCUCCUCGCUGUCUACCCUGUCUUCUUCGGCAAUCGUAUCCAGUCCCAAGCCUUUAUAAAAAACAAGCUCUACCUAUCAUGGUGGAAUUCCUGUCUAUAAAAGGGCACACCUUCAGACCUCCAGGCACCUCCAGAGAACACUGCUGUGCACAAGGAACCGAAUUCAGUUGUGUGGGACCUGCAGCUGCAAUCGGGUUUCAAACUCCUACUGAAAUAACUAAGACUGCCCUUUGCAAUCUUGCUUACAUAAUAAUUUUAAGUGGUAUAAAAUAAAUCAAUGUUCAAAGCAGGGACAGCUAAACAUCCCAGUGGUUUCCAAAUUCUGUUUAGUCUCUAUAUAGUACAUAUCCAAGGCAAGACCAACAACGAGGCAAAGUCUGAUGUUUUGGGAAGAUUUGGACAGACAAAGGUGGGUUCCCUUGCAUCUUCGCAGACAUUUCCGACCCUUCCUAAAACUCCUCAAAUUCAUCUGGCUCAGACAACCUCUUCCAAUACUCUGCUUUUUGCUAAUGAAAGAAAAGCUAAAUCUUGGAUCAUAAGCAGCAUCUACAGUUUCAGUGCAGCAUGUCUGCUGACGAGAGGUAGCACCGCCAGCUGCAUUUGAACAACAUUCUCCUGGAGAAAACUGAAACAGAAGGGCGGUUCAUUCUCAGUGGUGGAUGACGAGCAGGUCUCCUCUGUGGUGUGCAUAUGUGGUUUCCAAGUUUUAUAUGAUGACAAUGUAUAACUUCAUAAAUAAAAGGAAAGCAGUUAUUUUUAAAAAAGGAAAUGUUCUUCCACAUAAGGCACCAGUAAAAUUGUGACCAUACAACAGUAGAUUUUUUUUUAAUUUUUAUUUUUUGUAGAGAUGAGGAUCUUGCUAUGUUGCCCAGGCUGGUUUUGAACUCUCAGCCUCAAGCCAUUUUCCUGCCUUUGCCUCCCAAAGUGCUGGGAUUACAGGCAUGAGCCACCAUGCCUUGCCAGUUUUGUGGGGUUUUUUUAAACAAAUUAAAAAAGUGUGUGUCCUUGACUCACCUCAGCUUUGCCUGCUUGUCCAAUCCAGCCACUUUCCGCACCACCUGCUGGCAGA